UCAAGAGUUGGAUGCUCAACCGACUGAGCCACCCAGGACACCCGGGAAACUCGGACUCCUGGAAUGUUUCGGCUAGUGUUGCUCUUACUACAGGAGACUCCUAGGUGCUAUUGUUCCUUAUGGUACACAAAGCUGAACUUAAGGUUCUUGAACCAGAAGAGCUUGGACUUUUGAGUUUCAAAAACGAAGCCGUGGAUGCUUUGGACACAAUGUUUAUGCUGUGAACUUUAGCUCUGGGAGAAUGCAAGCUUCCUGCAACAAGAUGGUGCACGCCGAGGGGCUGCUGGCUUCCUCCGCGAAGCAGCAAAGCCGAAGGAGAGAGGGAGUUGGUGAAUGUCAGAGCUCAGCUGCUAACAUCAAACUUGGGAGAACCUCCUGGGGAGCACGAAGUGUGGCCUUCUGGCGUGGGAGAGAGAGGGGCCAGUAACAUCUCCUGCAGUCCUUCUGUUGACUGUGCACAUGCCUUCUUCUCCUAUGUUCCAUGGCUCUCUCAUCUUUAGCUUUUAUCUUGCCCUAAAGUUGUUUUUCUAUGCUAUAACUUUAUUCGUGGGUACAGUUCAAGUAUAGGAUAACCAUGAGCUCCAGAAAGUUUUCUGCUUGAAUGUGAACCAUAUGACUCUCCAAGAGUUUCCCAAGAAUGGCAACCUCUCCCUCCUCCUCCAGCCAUCGCUAAGCACCCUUGAAUCUGCUCUUCCUCCUUUGGCAAAUACAAUGUACCUCCAUUACAAGAUAUUUUCACAUUACAUUUUAUGGACAUACCAUAUUCAAGUUGUUCCUUUUUACUUAUGUAAACUUGAUAUAUUUUUCUAUCUGUAAAGUGGUUUGGGCAACUUGGGUUGAUAUAUUUUUCUAUCUGUAAAGUGGUUUGGGCAACUUGGGUUGCGACAGAAUGCUCAUAAU